UGGGGAAUAUUGCACAAUGGGCGCAAGCCUGAUGCAGCCAUGCCGCGUGUAUGAAGAAGGCCUUCGGGUUGUAAAGUACUUUCAGCGGGGAGGAAGGCGAUAAGGUUAAUAACCUUGUCGAUUGACGUUACCCGCAGAAGAAGCACCGGCUAACUCCGUGCCAGCAGCCGCGGUAAUACGGAGGGUGCAAGCGUUAAUCGGAAUUACUGGGCGUAAAGCGCACGCAGGCGGUCUGUCAAGUCGGAUGUGAAAUCCCCGGGCUCAACCUGGGAACUGCAUUCGAAACUGGCAGGCUAGAGUCUUGUAGAGGGGGGUAGAAUUCCAGGUGUAGCGGUGAAAUGCGUAGAGAUCUGGAAGAAUACCGGUGGCGAAGGCGGCCCCCUGGACAAAGACUGACGCUCAGGUGCGAAAGCGUGGGGAGCAAACA
rnacentral:rRNA from 1 species